rnacentral:rRNA from 1 species
AGUGAACGCUGGCGGUAGGCCUGACACAUGCAAGUCGAACGGCAGCACAGUAAGAGCUUGCUCUUACGGGUGGCGAGUGGCGGACGGGUGAGGAAUACAUCGGAAUCUACUUUUUCGUGGGGGAUAACGUAGGGAAACUUACGCUAAUACCGCAUACGACCUACGGGUGAAAGCAGGGGAUCUUCGGACCUUGCGCGAUUGAAUGAGCCGAUGUCGGAUUAGCUAGUUGGCGGGGUAAAGGCCCACCAAGGCGACGAUCCGUAGCUGGUCUGAGAGGAUGAUCAGCCACACUGGAACUGAGACACGGUCCAGACUCCUACGGGAGGCAGCAGUGGGGAAUAUUGGACAAUGGGCGCAAGCCUGAUCCAGCCAUACCGCGUGGGUGAAGAAGGCCUUCGGGUUGUAAAGCCCUUUUGCUGGGAAAGAAAAGCAGCAGGUUAAUACCCCGCUGUUCUGACGGUACCCAAAGAAUAAGCACCGGCUAACUUCGUG